GCCUGGCUAGCUCAAUCGGUAGAGCGUGAGACUCUUAAUCUCAAGGCUGUGGGUUCAAGCCCCACGUUGGGCU
rnacentral:tRNA from 2 species